ensembl:lncRNA
AUGCCGGGCAGCGCCGCGGCACCGGGAGGCGGCCAGGUACUACCGGCACCGGGAACGGGAACGGGAACGGCACCGGGAACGGGAACGGGAACGGGAACGGCACCGGGAACGGGAACGGGAACGGGAACGGCACCGGCACGGGCGGGCGCGGGGCCGGGGCCGGGGCGGGGUGGGUGGAGCCGCCCCCGCCGCGUUUCCGCCGCUGGCACCGGCCGCUCCCGCCGGCACCGGGGCCGCUCCCGAGGGGACAAAGGCGGGAGGAUGCCGGGCGGCGCCGCGGCACCGGGAGGCGGCCAGGUACUACCGGCACCGGGAACGGGAACGGCACCGGGCGGUUCCUUCCUCCCGUCCCUGCCGCGGCCAGAGCCCCCCCGGGUCCCGGUGCUGCCCCGGUACCGUGAAACGACCGGGACCGCAACGGCGGAAUGCGGAAUUCGGGUCUGGGGGGUUCUGGGCCCGGCGGUACCGGGGGUGCUGUCGGUGCCGCGGAAAGGAUUCCGGUGCCGGUGCCCGUGGCCGGCGGUCCCAUGGGAUGCGAUGCCGCGGUUUCCUUGGCAACCCGUACCGGGAGGAGCCGGGGGGGUACCGGAGGGUACCGCGGUUACCGGAGGGUACCGGGGAUUACCGGAGGAUACCGGGGUUACCGGGGUCACCGGAGGGUACCGGGGUUACCGGAGGGUACCGGGGAUUACCGGAGGGUACCGGGAUUACCGGAGGGUAUCGGGGUUACCGGGGGUUACCGGGGGUUACCGGGGAUCUCCGCACUCCCCCUCACCCGCCUCUCUCCCCGCAGGUCCCGCCGCCCCCCGGGGCACCGCGGGCUCUCCCCUCGCGGCCCCGGUGCCCCGAGCCCCGGCACCCCACGUGAGCAGGAACCGGAGCGGCGUGGCCGGGCCCGAGCCGCAGGUCAGGGGCACCGGGGGGAGGGCGGGGGGGUCCUGGGGCCGUGCCGAGCCGUGCCGUGCCAGGGCGGUGCCAUCCCGUGCCAGGGCAGUGCCAUCCCGAGCCGUGCUGUGCCAGGGCGGUGCCAUCCCGAGCUGUGCCGUGCCAGGGCGGUGCCAUCCCGUGCCAGGGCAGUGCCAUCCCGAGCUGUGCCGUGCUGUGCCAGGGCAGUGCCAUCCCGAGCCGUGCCGUGCCAGGGCGGUGCCAUCCCGAGCCGAGCUGUGCCGUGCCAGGGCGGUGCCAUCCCGAGCCGUGCCGUGCCAAUUCAUGCAGUUUGAUGCCGUGCCCUGUGCCCCGCCGGGUGAUGCCGUGCCGUGCCGUGCCACACUCCGCUGUGCCACUCGCUUGCCGUGCCAUGCCGUGCCGUGCCGUGCCAGGGCAGUGCCGUGCCAUGCCGUGCCAUGCCGUGCCGUGCCCCCCGCCCCUCUGACGUGCCCCGUGCCCCCCCGCAGCCCCCCCGGGCCAUGCCCGGUGCCGACCCCCGCCGCGGGCGCCGCCGCCCCUCGGGAACGCUCCCGGUGCCCCCCUGGAAGCCCCCGGAGCCCCCCGACCCCCCGCGCCCCUCCUCGCUGCCCCUGCGGGCCCCGCCGGGCACCCCGGCCCGCCCCGCCAGGUACGGGGACACGGGGGGACACGGGGGGGACACGGGGGGGACACGGGGGGACACGGGGGGCGCCGGUGCCGACCCGGGGGGGUUUUGGGGCGCUCCGGCCGUGCGGGGAGGGGUCCCUUGGCGGGCCAUGGGGACAUGGGGACAGUGCCACACAUCCCCCGGGGCAAGGGCAGCGCCCCCGGGCUGGGGACGGCGACCCCCGAGUGUCCCCGGAGCCUCUGGGGAGGGGGUGA